AUGACCGCUACCUACUCGCUUACCACAUGCGAAUCCAGGGGCAGCGUGGGCUUAUCUUGCUGAAUCCGAUGGCGACCGGCGCACGGGUGAAUAACACGUAUCCAACCUGCCCAUCACUCCGGUACAGCCUUUCCAAAGAUCCAUUAAUCCCGGAUUGUAUGGCGAUUCCGCGUGGUUUCUCCAUUAAAGGUUUUUUCCGGUGAUCGAUGGGGAUGCGUUCCAUUAGGCUGUUGGCGGGGUAACGGCCCACCCAACCUAGCAUGGAUAGGGGUUCUGACAGGAAGGUCCCCCACAUUGCAACUGAGAACGGUGCAAACUCCUACCGGAGGCAGCAGUGAGGAAUAUUGGUCAAUGGGCGGAAGCCUGAACCAACCAUACCGCGUGCAGGAAGGCGGCCUUAUGGGUUGUAAACUGCUUUUAUAUUGGGAUAAAGGGCUUGUCGAGGACAAGCAAUUGAAGGUACAGUAUGAAUAACUAUCGGCUAACUCC
rnacentral:rRNA from 1 species